CCUACGGGGGGCAGCAGUGGGGAAUAUUGGACAAUGGGGGGAACCCUGAUCCAGCCAUGCCGCGUGUGUGAAGAAGGCCCUCGGGUUGUAAAGCACUUUCAGUGAGGAAGAACGCCUGGUGGUUAAUACCCAUCAGGAAAGACAUCACUCACAGAAGAAGCACCGGCUAACUCCGUGCCAGCAGCCGCGGUAAUACGGAGGGUGCGAGCGUUAAUCGGAAUUACUGGGCGUAAAGCGCGCGUAGGUGGCUUGAUAAGCCGGUUGUGAAAGCCCCGGGCUCAACCUGGGAACGGCAUCCGGAACUGUCAAGCUAGAGUGCAGGAGAGGAAGGUAGAAUUCCCGGUGUAGCGGUGAAAUGCGUAGAGAUCGGGAGGAAUACCAGUGGCGAAGGCGGCCUUCUGGACUGACGCUGACACUGAGGUGCGAAAGCGUGGGUAGCAAACAGGAUUAGAUACCCGAGUAGUC
rnacentral:rRNA from 1 species